rnacentral:rRNA from 1 species
GAUGAACGCUGGCGGCGUGCCUAAUACAUGCCAGUCGAGCGAACGGACGAGAAGCUUGCUUCUCUGAUGUUAGCGGCGGACGGGUGAGUAACACGUGGAUAACCUACCUAUAAGACUGGGAUAACUUCGGGAAACCGGAGCUAAUACCGGAUAAUAUUUUGAACCGCAUGGUUCAAAAGUGAAAGACGGUCUUGCUGUCACUUAUAGAUGGAUCCGCGCCGCAUUAGCUAGUUGGUAAGGUAACGGCUUACCAAGGCAACGAUGCAUAGCCGACCUGAGAGGGUGAUCGGCCACACUGGAACUGAGACACGGUCCAGACUCCUACGGGAGGCAGCAGUAGGGAAUCUUCCGCAAUGGGCGAAAGCCUGACGGAGCAACGCCGCGUGAGUGAUGAAGGUCUUCGGAUCGUAAAACUCUGUUAUUAGGGAAGAACAUGUGUGUAAGUAACUGUGCACAUCUUGACGGUACCUAAUCAGAAAGCCACGGCUAACUACGUG